GACUGUGUAGUAUAAUGGUAAUACACCAUGCUUAAUUAAACGAAAAGGAUGGCAUAACUUAUCAUGAGGAUCUCGGUUCGAAUCCGACCGCGGUUA